CGGGGCGUAGCUCAGUUUGGUCAGAGCGUACGGUUCGGGACCGUAAGGCCGGUGGUUCAAAUCCACUCGCCCCGACCA
rnacentral:tRNA from 1 species